rnacentral:rRNA from 1 species
AACGAACGCUGGCGGCAGGCCUAAUACAUGCAAGUCGAGCGCGCCCUUCGGGGUGAGCGGCGGACGGGUGAGUAACGCGUGGGAAUAUGCCCUUCUCUAAGGAAUAGCCUCUGGAAACGGAGAGUAAUACCUUAUACGCCCUUUGGGGGAAAGAUUUAUCGGAGAAGGAUUAGCCCGCGUUAGAUUAGGUAGUUGGUGGGGUAAUGGCCUACCAAGCCUACGAUCUAUAGCUGGUUUGAGAGGAUGAUCAGCCACACUGGGACUGAGACACGGCCCAGACUCCUACGGGAGGCAGCAGUAGGGAAUCUUAGACAAUGGGGGCAACCCUGAUCUAGCCAUGCCGCGUGUGUGAUGAAGGCCCUAGGGUCGUAAAGCACUUUAGCCAGAGAUGAUAAUGACAGUAUCUGGUAAAGAAACCCCGGCUAACUCCGUGCCAGCAGCCGCGGUAAUACGGAGGGGGUUAGCGUUGUUCGGGAUUACUGGGCGUAAAGCGCACGUAGGCGGAUUAGUAAGUUAGAGGUGAAAUCCCAGGGCUCAACCCUGGAACUGCCCUUAAUACUGCUAGUCUUGAGUUCGAGAGAGGUAAGUGGAAUUCCGAGUGUAGAAGUGAAAUUCGUA